CCCUUAGAUGUUCUGGGCCGCACGCGCGCUACACUGAUGAAUGCAACGAGCUCUACCCUUGACCGAAAGGCCCGGGUAAACUUGUGAAACUUCAUCGUGAUGGGGAUAGAUUAUUGCAAUUAUUAAUCUUCAACGAGGAAUUCCUAGUAAGCGCGAGUCAUCAGCUCGCGUUGAUUACGUCCCUGUCCUUUGUACACACCGCCCGUCGCUCCUACCGAUUGAAUGGUCCGGUGAAAUCUUCGGAUUGCUGACCAAGAUCCAGCAAUGGAGCUUGGUUGCGAGAAGUUGAUUAAACCUUAUUAUUUAGAGGAAGGAGAAGUCGUAACA
rnacentral:rRNA from 1 species